rnacentral:rRNA from 1 species
UACGGAGGGUGCAAGCGUUAUUCGGAUUUAUUGGGCGUAAAGGGCGUGUAGGUGGUCUGAUAAGUCAGGUGUGAAAGCCCUUGGCUUAACCAAGGAAGUGCAUUUGAAACUAUCAGACUUGAGUACGGGAGGGGGAAGUGGAAUUCCUGGUGUAGAGGUGAAAUUCGUAGAUAUCAGGAGGAAUACCGGUGGCGAAGGCGACUUCCUGGACCGAUACUGACACUGAGACGCGAAAGCGUGGGGAGCAAACAGG